rnacentral:tRNA from 1 species
GUAUAGCUCAGUGGUAGAGUGCAUGCCUAGCAUGCACAAGGUCCUGGGUUCCAUCCCCAGUAC